AUUGAACGCUGGCGGCAUGCUUUACACAUGCAAGUCGAACGGCAGCACGGGCUUCGGCCUGGUGGCGAGUGGCGAACGGGUGAGUAAUAUAUCGGAACGUACCCAGAAGUGGGGGAUAACGUAGCGAAAGUUACGCUAAUACCGCAUACGAUCUAUGGAUGAAAGCAGGGGACCGCAAGGCCUUGUGCUCCUGGAGCGGCCGAUAUCUGAUUAGCUAGUUGGUGAGGUAAAGGCUCACCAAGGCGACGAUCAGUAGCUGGUCUGAGAGGACGACCAGCCACACUGGAACUGAGACACGGUCCAGACUCCUACGGGAGGCAGCAGUGGGGAAUUUUGGACAAUGGGCGCAAGCCUGAUCCAGCAAUGCCGCGUGAGUGAAGAAGGCCUUCGGGUUGUAAAGCUCUUUUGUCAGGGAAGAAACGGUAGAGGCUAAUAUCCUUUGCUAAUGACGGUACCUGAAGAAUAAGCACCGGCGAACUACGU
rnacentral:rRNA from 1 species